ACCACCUUCUACCUUAUGGGCAUCCCCUCUCUGCCAAAAUCCCUUUUCCUUCCUAUUUUCUUUGUCUUUCUCCUCUUCUACAUGCUCAUCCUGAUGGGUAAUACCCUGAUCCUGGUGGCUGUGGUGGCACAGCCCAGCCUCCACAAGCCCAUGUACUUCUUCCUGAUAAACCUCUCCACUUUGGACAUUCUUGUCACCACAACCACUGUCCCCAAGAUGCUGUCCGUGUUCUUGCUUGGGGACAGCUUCCUCAGCUUCCCUGCCUGCUUCCUGCAGAUGUACCUGUUCCACAGGUUCUCCUGCUCAGAAGCCUUCAUCCUGGUGGUCAUGGCCUAUGACCGCUAUGUGGCUAUCUGCCGCCCACUGCACUACCCUGUCCUCAUGACCCUUCAGACCAACCCUGUCUUGGCAGCCAGUGCCUGGCUCACUGCCCUCCUCCUGCCCAUUCCAGCAGUGGUACAGACCUCCCAGAUGGCAUUUGACAGCAUUGUCCACAUCUACAACUGCUUCUGUGACCACUUGGCUGUGGUCCAGGCCUCCUGCUCUGACACCAACCCCUAGACCUUCAUGGGCUUCUGCAUCACCAUGGUGGUGUCCUUCCUCCCACUUCUCCUGGUGCUUCUCUCCUAUGCCCACAUCUUGACCUUGGUGCUUCGCAUCAACUCCCAAGAAGGACGCUCCAAAGCCUUCUCCAGCUGCAGCUCCCACCUCCUGGUGGUGGGCACCUACUAUUCAUCCAUUGCCAUAGCCUAUAUGGCCUACAGGGCUGACCUGCCCCUAGACUUCCACGUCAUGGGCAAUGUGGUAUAUGCCAUUCUCACACCUGUUCUCAACCCUCUCAUCUACACACUGAGGAACAAGGAUGUCAAAUCAGCCAUCACCAAGACUGCAUGUCCCCAGGAGCCA
rnacentral:sRNA from 1 species